rnacentral:misc_RNA from 1 species
UUGCACUUACAUCAGGAUCUUCCUUUGUGUGCGUGAUAUUAUCUGCUACAAUAACCAGGGGCUCCUUUUCUGGAGGAGGAAUCUCGUCAGCAAUAAUUGGUUUAUCAGGAGUCGAUGGUAAUGAUUCCUUUGCUGGGUAAGAAUUAACAUCGGAGAUCAAUUCCUCAUUUUCGUGAGUCAAGUUCUCGGAAAAAACCACAAUUUCUGAGUUAGUAGACAAUUCGUCCAAUUCGUCAGCAACAAUCAACAUUUCUGAAUUAACAGUAGGCUCCCCUUUUUUAUUAGCCAUCGAUUCUUCCUCUGUUAAUUGCUGAAGCGUAGCAUCUUCCCAAUCUUCGGAAACAACAAUUGUAUUCUUAGUUUCCCAGGUUUUGAAAAUUCGAUCAGGUCCUGGUUGCCACAAAAUCUUCCCAUUAUAAACUUGAACUGGAUGGAUUUUCCAAUGGGUAUAUCCAGCUCAAGAGUCCAAACAUGCCCGUCUGACCAGUUCAAUGGUAUGGCAUUUUCAGGAUCCCACAUGCCGAACAUUUGAUCAUCCCCUACUAGAGCAAAUUGCUCACCAAA